GUCCAUGCCUUAAACGAUGUAUACUAGGAGUAGGGAGGCUCAACCCUUUCUGUUCCGGAGCUAACGCAUUAAGUAUACCGCCUGGGGAGUACGCUCGCAAGGGUGAAACUCAAAAGAAUUGACGGGGGCCCGCACAAGCAGUGGAGCAUGUGGUUUAAUUCGAUGCAACGCGAAGAACCUUACCUGGGCUCGAAAUGUAGAGGGAUAUAUCAGAGAUGAUAUAGCCCGAAAGGGCCUCUAUAUAGGUGCUGCAUGGCUGUCGU
rnacentral:rRNA from 1 species